GUGCAAGUCGAGCGGAUGAGUGGAGCUUGCUCCAUGAUUCAGCGGCGGACGGGUGAGUAAUGCCUAGGAAUCUGCCUGGUAGUGGGGGACAACGUUUCGAAAGGAACGCUAAUACCGCAUACGUCCUACGGGAGAAAGUGGGGGAUCUUCGGACCUCACGCUAUCAGAUGAGCCUAGGUCGGAUUAGCUAGUUGGUGAGGUAAAGGCUCACCAAGGCGACGAUCCGUAACUGGUCUGAGAGGAUGAUCAGUCACACUGGAACUGAGACACGGUCCAGACUCCUACGGGAGGCAGCAGUGGGGAAUAUUGGACAAUGGGCGAAAGCCUGAUCCAGCCAUGCCGCGUGUGUGAAGAAGGUCUUCGGAUUGUAAAGCACUUUAAGUUGGGAGGAAGGGCAGUAAGUUAAUACCUUGCUGUUUUGACGUUACCAACAGAAUAAGCACCGGCUAACUUCGUGCCAGCAGCCGCGGUAAUACGAAGGGUGCAAGCGUUAAUCGGAAUUACUGGGCGUAAAGCGCGCGUACGUGGUUCGUUAAUUGGAUGUGAAAGCCCCGGGCUCAGCCUGGGAACUGCAUCCAAACUGGGCGAGCUAAGUA
rnacentral:rRNA from 2 species